GGUUAGUUUACUUGUCAUUUUUUGCGUUAUGAUAUCUUAUCAUUACCAAGUACAUUUACUAAGUUUAUGUGUUACCGAGUCUUUUUCACAAUCACCAAAACUCAAAUAUAUUAAAAUAGUAAAAAGAAGCGAUAUAUGUGGCCUUUUCUCUACCGUCCUGGGGUUUCUCUAGGUUUCCUAUUUGACCUAGGAUUGAGUAGAAGUUGUUUCCUCAAGGUUGUCUUGAGUUCUUCCGCACUCGUAUGGCGUUGGUUGUUCCUUUGUGGUUCUUCUUUUCUGUCUUUUUCUUUCUCAUCUCGUCUUUUUUGUUCUUUUUUUUUUCCUCUCUCUUUUGUUAUGGAUGCAGAGGCCUUGGCUAAGAUUUGUGCCAAACUAAACUUGAAAGAAGAUGAUAAUAAUCCAGCCUUGUCUUUUGAUCCCUCGAUUCAUCAAAAUGCGAGAAAAAUGAGUUUUUUGAGCUCAGCUUGCAAGGUACUUUCUAAUCGCUUAGUGAAUAGGGAGGGGUUUAAAUCUGUUCUUCUUAAUAUGCUUCGGGUUAUCCAUGGAUUUGAAAUGGAAGCCGCAGGGAAUAAUAUUUUUGUUUUGCACUUCAAAUCUAGUGAAGAAAGGCAUAAAAUUAUGGUGGAUGGCCUAUGGAGUUCUGAUAAGUGUUUGAUUGUGUUCUCCAUAAUUUCAGAAACCCAACAUCUUGGAGAUGUAUUGUUUGAUAAAGUCAAUUUCUGGGUACAAAUUCAUAAUGUAUCAGUUGCAUAUAUAUCAAUUGACGUUGCUAAGAAAUUGGGAAAUGAGAUUGGUCAAGUGGUGGAUAUUGAUGGUGGCACUACUGGAAGUAGUAUUGGCCGUUAUCUUAGAGUGUGUGUCAUUGAUAUGGGUAAUAAAGAACCUAAAAGAGUUGUUGUCAUUACUUAUGAGUGUUUACUCGAUAUAUGCUAUGCGUGUGAUAUGCUAGGUCACGUUUAUAGAGAGUGUAGUUUAAAGAAUAAAAUUGCUUUAGAUGAGAGCUCCUUUGGCCCAUGGAUGAAGGCUGUCAUGGGUAGUUCUUUUAUUGAUAGCAAGAAAGGAAUGAGACAGGUUAAUGAUGGCCAAUUACAUGCUCAAUUUUCCCCUAUUGCUAAUGUUAAUACUCAGCCUAAUGAUGACAAUAGUGAAGUUAGUCAUCAAAAUUGUCCCAAUAAUUAGGAGGCGAGGAUGCAUGUGACAGUGGUUGAUCAAGUUCACGUCCUUAUAAUGCAUGGUAACGUGAUUGAUUCUUCUAAUGGCCAAAUUAAUAAUUCCUUGUUAUAUGGUACUGUGCGCGGAGUUAAUCAUGGCAAAGUGAGCCAUUUUGAUGGUAGAAAAAAUUCUAAAUAUAAAGAUGGGUGAUUUUGACAAAGAUUCUUAGAUGAUGGAUGGCAUGCAUGUGACUUUGAAUGACCAUAAUAUUAACUCCCCUAUGCCAAAUAUUAUUUUUUAGAGUACUUUGCAUGUUCAGGUGGACCCCAAUGGCAAUGACCCAAGUAAUGUUUCUAAUUCUAUUAUUAUUGUUCCUAAUGCUAAUGAUAUUUGUGUCAGUGCACCUAUAUUUCCAAUGGGACUGUUUGCUAGAACGAGUGGACCUAAUUCACCGAAAGCUAAGUGAAGAGUUGUGAAGAAAAUGAAAAGUCCUAACUCUCCUAAAUUGAAGAGUACCACUAAAGGACAAACUGCUGAGAAAAAUCAAAAUGGUACUCGGAAAAGGCGGGGAACCUCCUAAACCUAGAGAGGAAAAUGCAACUCCAGUGGGGAAGUCAUUAAAAAUUCUUGUAAGUGCUAUUGAUGAGGGUUCAAACUCAAUGGGCCUUAGUGGAGGAUUAUAUAGGUUUCUGCUUGAGAGGCCUUAUGUUUGGUAAAGGAUGAACUGGAUCAACAACAAUAUGCGUCAUUUUCAAUUUGUUGUUGGAUGGCUUGGUCUAGAAGAAAUGGCAUAAUUCAUGGUGGAUAUGAGUCGGAGGCAGCCUUGGUAUAUGGAUGGCAGAAGCUUUUCUUUAGGAUUUUAAUGCUGCUCUGUAGAGUUCUCUUUUACAGGCGUCAGAGAUGAAUAGGAUGCCUCAACUGGCUUUCUAGCAACUGCGUAGUGGGUUAUUUAAACUGAAUGUUAAUGCCUCUUGGAUGGAAGCAACAAAUCAAAGUGGACUGGAUGCAAUUGUCAGAAACCAUGAUGGGCUCUGUAUGGUAGCUAGUACUAUGAGUAAGUCUCCCAUUCCCUCUGCUCUUCUUGGCGAGUUGUUGAUUGUCUGAAAAGAUAUUGCGCUUUGCUCUCGAUUGUGGUUUCAAUGAUAUCCAGUUGGAGUCGGACUGCCUAGAAAUUGUUAAUAUGAUUAAUAAGGAUUAUGUUGUCUUUUCUAAGUUUAGUCUAGUUCUUAAGGACAUUUAAAGACUUGCCUCUUUAUUUUCUACGUCUGGUUUAAUUUUGUUAGUUGGACUUGCAACUCAAUUAUUCAUAAUUUAGCUAGUUUUGAAAUCGGUCUAGACUCUAAUCGGAUUUGGCUUGCCCUUUGUGGAUUCUUACACCUUCUGUUGGUAAAUAAGCCGUGAUUAUAUUGCUUGUUUGUGA